GUGGGAGUGCAGGAUCCUGGGCUGUCCCCCAGUGUCCUGGGAUAUCGGGCCUGCACAGUUGGAAUCGCGCUCCCGAGGCUGCGCAGCCCCCU
rnacentral:pre_miRNA from 1 species